CAAACAAGCUGUGAACGGUUCUGAGUUCUGAAGGAGACACAAAAGAAAGAAAACCUUCGUUGGAUUGAUCGUCAAUAUUUGAGGCAUUUAGGAGUGAGUGUGUCAAGGGAAUUGGAUGGGAUUCUGUGUGGCAGGAUCGUUGGAUUCAAAUGUUAAUAUUAUGCUGAGACCGAGAGUGCGAAGCUGUUCUAAUGAAGCAAGAAUCAGGUCCCCUUCUUCAUUCUGCACAGCACCGAAUUUUGAUAGCGUUAGUUUCAAGCACUCUCAAAAGCAAAAUCAUAAGGCCAUUCAAACAAGACUUUUUCUGUGCAAGCAAGACUCAGUUGAGUUUGAUGAGAGGAAGAGCCCAAAUGAGGUUAGAGAAGAGAUCAAACGAUGUUACGAACUCAUAAACAGAUUGGGUAGAGGAGUUGUGUAUUUGGGAUCUUCAAGGAUGGGGCCUGGCCAUCCCCAUUAUGUGCAAGCACAGGAGCUGUCUAAAGAGGCAAGUAAUUCAUACUGUAACUUCCUGCCUGCUUCUUGCUUGCUUUCUGUGAAUAAUAUAGCAAAUCUUUUGGAUUGCACUUCAUGGUCAGGGGCUGGACCAGGGUUAAUGGACGCAGUUACUCAAGGUGCUCUGCAAGCAGGAAAACCAGUUGGCGGAUUCAAGAUUGGAAAAGAAGCUGGGGAAUGGACUGCAUCCAACUACCAUCCAUACUUGCCAUCAGAAAAUUACCUCACUUGCAGGUUUUUCUCUGCAAGGAAACAUGGGCUGGUGGAUGUUGUAGUAAGGAAUAAUUCACUCGAUAAGACUGCUGUUGUUGCUCUUCCCGGUGGGAUUGGUACUCUUGAUGAGGUGUUUGAGAUAAUGGCGUUGAUUCAGCUCGAACGGAUUGGAUCAGAGCUUCCUAUUCCGUUCAUUUUGAUGAAUUAUGAUUCAUUUUAUUCGAAGCUGCUUGACUUUCUUGAUGUUUGUGAGGAUUGGGGCACGGUUUCUAAGGGAGAAGUUUCAUCAUUAUGGAAGGUUUGUAACAGCAACCCUGAGGCUUUGGCUUACCUGGUGGAUUUCUACGGCUUUUCUUCCAGCAACAAAAGUAGUAAUUUAACGAAAUUGCAUAGCACAGUUGAAUCAUCCUCCACAUAGCACCUUUUUCCCCCUUUUCUUCCUUUAAGUGAUUCCUUCCUUCUUCUCAACAUAGCUCGAUCAUGAAAACAUUCUGGUAUUGAAGACUCUAUUUUCAUCCACCCCCAUAAAAAAAGGGAGAGGCAAAUCAGGUUAAAAUGAUCAAAUUUCAAGAUGUGAGUUUUAGAGAAUCCCAUUAACAUGUGUUCCAGAAAAUGAAAAAUCACGAAUAAUUUGCCUGAUAAAGCUAAUUGAGGAACAUGAUUGUAGUUAGAACAUAAGCCUAGUGAGGUUUUGAGCCUAGAAUGUGUGGUUUAAUACUCUCUAUAAUUGUAAGCCAUGGCUUGAUUCUUGAUAUCUGUUCAUUGUAUGCAUGUAUUAAAGAUGAUUGAGGUCAUUUUGUUACAUCCCACGUUAAAUUUCUUGCCCCUUUGGUUUAUAUACUAAUUGUUUUAUUGUUACUUUUGCUUACAACCGUAUAUUGAUAUCAUUCUUUGUCUUGAGACCAUAAUCCAUACUUUGUGCAAUGUUA